rnacentral:tRNA from 1 species
UCCCCAGUGGCGCAACUGGUUAGCGCGCGGUACUUAUAAUGCCGAGGUUGUGAGUUCGAUCCCUCACCUGGGGAA